rnacentral:rRNA from 1 species
GAUGAACGCUGGCGGCGUGCCUAACACAUGCAAGUCGAACGGAGAUUCCGGACGGAAGUUUUCGGAUGGAAGCCUGUAAUUCUUAGUGGCGGACGGGUGAGUAACGCGUGGGCAACCUGCCCUAUACAGGGGGAUAGCAGCUGGAAACGGCUGGUAAGACCGCAUAAGUCGGUUAAAUCGCAUGAUUUGAUCGGGAAAUGAGCAAUCAGGUAUAGGAUGGGCCCGUGUCCGAUUAGCCAGUUGGCAGGGUAAAAGCCUACCAAAGCGACGAUCGGUAGCCGGACUGAGAGGUCGGACGGCCACAUUGGGACUGAGACACGGCCCAAACUCCUACGGGAGGCAGCAGUGGGGGAUAUUGCACAAUGGAGGAAACUCUGAUGCAGCGACGCCGCGUGAGUGAAGAAGUAUUUCGGUAUGUAAAGCUCUAUCAGCAGGGAAGAUGAUGACGGUACCUGACUAAGAAGCCCCGGCUAACUACGUG